GACGAACGCUGGCGGCGUGCUUAACACAUGCAAGUCGAACGGAAAGGCCCUGCUUUUGUGGGGUGCUCGAGUGGCGAACGGGUGAGUAACACGUGAGUAACCUGCCCUUGACUUUGGGAUAACUUCAGGAAACUGGGGCUAAUACCGGAUAGGAGCUCCUGCUGCAUGGUGGGGGUUGGAAAGUUUCGGCGGUUGGGGAUGGACUCGCGGCUUAUCAGCUUGUUGGUGGGGUAGUGGCUUACCAAGGCUUUGACGGGUAGCCGACCUGAGAGGGUGACCGGCCACAUUGGGACUGAGAUACGGCCCAGACUCCUACGGGAGGCAGAAGUGGGGAAUAUUGCACAAUGGGCGGAAGCCUGAUGCAGCAACGCCGCGUGCGGGAUGACGGCCUUCGGGUUGUAAACCGCUUUCGCCUGUGACGAAGCGUGAGUGACGGUAAUGGGUAAAGAAGCACCGGCUAACUACGUG
rnacentral:rRNA from 1 species